GGCAGAGUGGCUCAGUGGAAAGAGCACGGGCUUUGGAGUCAGAGGUCAUGGGUUCAAAUCCUGGAUCUGCCA
rnacentral:tRNA from 1 species